UAAGACUGGGAUAACUCCGGGAAACCGGGGCUAAUACCGGAUGCUUGAUUGAACCGCAUGGUUCAAUUAUAAAAGGUGGCUUUUAGCUACCACUUACAGAUGGACCCGCGGCGCAUUAGCUAGUUGGUGAGGUAACGGCUCACCAAGGCGACGAUGCGUAGCCGACCUGAGAGGGUGAUCGGCCACACUGGGACUGAGACACGGCCCAGACUCCUACGGGAGGCAGCAGUAGGGAAUCUUCCGCAAUGGACGAAAGUCUGACGGAGCAACGCCGCGUGAGUGAUGAAGGUUUUCGGAUCGUAAAACUCUGUUGUUAGGGAAGAACAAGUACCGUUCGAAUAGGGCGGUACCUUGACGGUACCUAACCAGAAAGCCACGGCUAACUACGUGCCAGCAGCCGCGGUAAUACGUAGGUGGCAAGCGUUGUCCGGAAUUAUUGGGCGUAAAGCGCGCGCAGGCGGUUUCUUAAGUCUGAUGUGAAAGCCCCCGGCUCAACCGGGGAGGGUCAUUGGAAACUGGGGAACUUGAGUGCAGAAGAGGAGAGUGGAAUUCCACGUGUAGCGGUGAAAUGCGUAGAGAUGUGGAGGAACACCAGUGGCGAAGGCGACUCUCUGGUCUGUAACUGACGCUGAGGCGCGAAAGCGUGGGGAGCGAACAGGAUUAGAUACCCUGGUAGUCCACGCCGUAAACGAUGAGUGCUAAGUGUUAGAGGGUUUCCGCCCUUUAGUGCUGCAGCAAACGCAUUAAGCACUCCGCCUGGGGAGUACGGUCGCAAGACUGAAACUCAAAGGAAUUGACG
rnacentral:rRNA from 1 species